rnacentral:rRNA from 1 species
AGUGGCGGACGGGUGAGUAACGCGUAAGAAUCUAACUUCAGGACGGGGACAACAGUUGGAAACGACUGCUAAUACCCGAUGUGCCGCAAGGUGAAACCUAAUUGGCCUGGAGAAGAGCUUGCGUCUGAUUAGCUAGUUGGUGGGGUAAAGGCCUACCAAGGCGACGAUCAGUAGCUGGUCUGAGAGGAUGAGCAGCCACACUGGGACUGAGACACGGCCCAGACUCCUACGGGAGGCAGCAGUGGGGAAUUUUUCGCAAUGGGCGAAAGCCUGACGGAGCAACGCCGCGUGAGGGAGGAAGGUCUUUGGAUUGUAAACCUCUUUUCUCAAGGAAGAAGUUCUGACGGUACUUGAGGAAUCAGCCUCGGCUAACUCCGUGCCAGUUUUUUUCGGUAAUACGGGGGAGGCAAGCGUUAUCCGGAAUUAUUGGGCGUAAAGCGUCCGCAGGUGGUCAGCCAAGUCUGCCGUCAAAUCAGGUUGCUUAACGACCUAAAGGCGGUGGAAACUGGCAGACUAGAGAGCAGUAGGGGUAGCAGGAAUUCCCAGUGUAGCGGUGAAAUGCGUAGAGAUUGGGAAGAACAUCGGUGGCGAAAGCGUGCUACUGGGCUGUAUCUGACACUCAGGGACGAAAGCUAGGGGAGCGAAAGGGAUUAGAUACCCCUGUAGUCCUAGCCGUAAACGAUGGAUACUAGGCGUGGCU